rnacentral:rRNA from 1 species
CCUACGGGGGGCAGCAGUGAGGAAUCUUGGUCAAUGGAGGCAACUCUGAACCAGCCACGUCGCGUGAAGGAGGAAGGCCUUACGGGUCGUAAACUUCUUUUUCGGGGGAAUAAACGGGGUCACGCGUGGCCCCCUGCAUGUACCCCGCGAACAAGGAUCGGCUAACUCCGUGCCAGCAGCCGCGGUAAUACGGAGGAUCCGAGCGUUAUCCGGAUUUAUUGGGUUUAAAGGGUGCGCAGGCGGGUUGCUAAGUCGGUGGUGAAAUCCCGGGGCUCAACCCCUGGCUUGCCAUCGAAACUGGUUACCUUGAGUAUGGGUGAGGCAGGCGGAAUUCGUGGUGUAGCGGUGAAAUGCAUAGAUAUCACGAGGAACCCCGAUCGCGUAGGCAGCUUGCCAUUCCAUCACUGACGCUCAUGCACGAAGGCGUGGGGAUCAAACAGGAUUAGAUACCCCGGUAGUCC